rnacentral:tRNA from 1 species
UCCAGGGUAGCCUAGUGGACAUGGCAUCUGCCCGGUAAGCGGAACGUUGUGGGUUCGAUUCCCGCCCCUGAAA